AAAGGGAGACCUAAUUCAGGUAAGAGACGAAAAAAAGUAGUCGCUACCAAGAAUCAAUCCCAAAAGGUCGGAGCGAGGCGAAAUUGGCUUUCAAACUAGGUUCUGGGUUCAAACAAGACCUGAAUCAGGAACAAGGGCUAUUAGCUCAGGUGGUUAGAGCGCACCCCUGAUAAGGGUGAGGUCCCUGGUUCGAGUCCAGGAUGGCCCACCUGCACAGGUGGCAAAAACAAGAGAAGCGAGGAAUCAGCACCUUAUCUUACUGACAUAGUAAGAGAGAAUGCUGGCUCUGAGUAAAGAGUCCAGAGGAACCUUGAAAACUGCAUAGAGCUAGGUGAAAAAGCCAAAAAAGAAGACCGCAAG
rnacentral:tRNA from 1 species